AGGUCUUUAUUAUAUCAGCUUAAUCUACACCCUAACUUAUACAAGCCCAGUGUGCCAUACCAAUGUUACCAUUUUCUGUUUGUGCCAUGAUGAAGGUUGGAAAUCACCAUGACUUAUACCUCUUCUUCUUUGUCCCUUUUGCUAGCCCCUUCUCCUCAAUGUCAUCGAGGAGGAAAUCCUUUCUCUCCUACCCAUCCAGACCAUAGAACUCUGUACUACUAACCUAUGGAGCGGAGGGAAGUUUGCACCACUUAAGCCUUGAAGUCUUGGCCCAGGUGAAUUGCUGUCUUCCGUCUUUCCUCAAACACCAUCUUGUUUUUCAUGACUUAAG
rnacentral:lncRNA from 1 species